rnacentral:rRNA from 1 species
AUUGAACGCUGGCGGCAGGCCUAACACAUGCAAGUCGAGCGAGCGGCGGACGGGUGAGUAAUGUAUGGGGACUGCCCGAUCGAGGGGGAUAACUACUGGAAACGGUGGCUAAUACCGCAUACUAUCGGAUAACCCAUAUGGGAUUAGCUAGUAGGUGGGGUAAAGGCUCACAUAGGCGACGAUCGCUAGCUGGUCUGAGAGGAAGCCCAGCCAUACGGGGAGUGAGACGAGGGCCAGACUACUACGGAGGCAGCAGUGGGGAAUAUUGCACAAGGGGCGCAAGGCUGAUGCAGCCAUGCCGUGUGUAUGAAGAAGGCCUUAGGGUUGUAAAGUACGUUCAGCGGGGAGGCGUUACCCGCAGAAGAAGCACCGGCUAACUCCGUGCCAGCAGCCGCGGUAAUUC